GUUGGGAUAGCGGACAUCUUGAAGCAGGUUGGGAUAGUGGACAUCUUGAAGCAGGUGGGGAUAGUGGACAUCUUGAAGCAGGUUGUGAUAGUGGACAUCUUGAAGCAGGUUGGGAUAGUGGACAUCUUGAAGCAGGUGGGGAUAGUGGACAUCUUGAAGCAGGUUGUGAUAGUAGACAUCUUGAAGCAGUUUGGGAUAGCGGACAUCUUGAAGCAGGUUGGGAUAGUGGACAUCUUGAAGCAGGUUGGGAUAGUGGACAUCUUGAAGCAGGUUGUGAUAGUGGACAUCUUGAAGCAGGUUGUGAUAGUGGACAUCUUGAUGCAGGUGGGGAUAGCGGACAUCUUGAAGCAGGUGGGGAUAGCGGACAUCUUGAAGCAGGUGGGGAUAGCGGACAUCUUGAAGCAGGUGGGGAUAGCGGACAUCUUGAAGCAGGUGGCGAUAGUGGACACCUUGAAGCAGGUUGUGAUAGUGGAGAUUAAAAAAUGUCAGAAAACAUGACAGCCAGUUGUUCUGCACAUGCUACAAAGGGGCUUUUUGGCCGGCAGCCUUGCGAGGGUUAACAUGCUUGUAUGACGGACAUACGUCCUCCUUGGAGACCGUAACAUAGCCCACAUUGUCCUCAGGGUCUCUCUUCGGCAGCUCAGAGUCAUCGUUGUGCUCGAAGCGUGAGAAAAAGGUGUGAAAUUAUUAACAGUGGUGAGAUUUUUCAGGAGGGGAAUGAUGGAGGGGCUGUACAGCUGGAGAGGAGGGGUUGGAUGUACGGUUGGAAUGGGGACUGAGGGGGACUGUCUGUACAGCUGGAUGGUCACAUACAUAUGGUAUAGAAUACAGUAUACAUCUGGGAUGAUGUAUAUGAGAACUUGUUCUCAACUGGCCUACCUGGUUAAAUAAAGGUGUUCUCAACUAGCCUACCUGGUUAAAUAAAAGGUGUUCUCAACUGGCCUACCUGGUUAAAUAAAGGUGUUCUAAACUAGCCUACCU
ensembl:lncRNA